rnacentral:rRNA from 1 species
UACGAAGGGUGCUAGCGUUGUUCGGAAUUACUGGGCGUAAAGAGCGCGUAGGCGGCUAUGUAAGUUGGAAGUGAAAUCCCGAAGCUUAACUUCGGAACUGCUUUCAAGACUGCAUAGCUAGAAAUUGGUAGAGGAUAGUGGAAUUCCUAGUGUAGAGGUGAAAUUCGUAGAUAUUAGGAGGAACACCGGAGGCGAAAGCGACUAUCUGGGCCAAAUUUGACGCUGUGGCGCGAAAGCGUGGGGAGCAAACAGG